rnacentral:rRNA from 1 species
UCCUAUCCUACGGGACGCAGCAGUAAGGAAUAUUGGUCAAUGGGCGCAAGCCUGAACCAGCCAUGCCGCGAGCAGGAAGACGGCCUUAUGGGUUGUAAUCUGCUUGGGUCAGGGAAUUAACCUAAAUACGUGUAGAUAGUGAAGUACUC